CAGUAGCCGCGGUAAUACGAAGGGUGCAAGCGUUACUCGGAAUUACUGGGCGUAAAGCGUGCGUAGGUGGUGGUUUAAGUCCGUUGUGAAAGCCCUGGGCUCAACCUGGGAAUUGCAGUGGAUACUGGAUCACUAGAGUGUGGUAGAGGAUAGUGGAAUUUCCGGUGUAGCAGUGAAAUGCGUAGAGAUCGGAAGGAACAUCUGUGGCGAAGGCGACUAUCUGGGCCAACACUGACACUGAGGCACGAAAGCGUGGGGAGCAAACAGGAUUAGAUACCCGCGUAGUCCCUGUCUCUUAUAC
rnacentral:rRNA from 1 species